CGAGAUCUUCGGAUCUAGUGGCGCACGGGUGCGUAACGCGUGGGAAUCUGCCCUUGGGUUCGGAAUAACUUCUGGAAACGGAAGCUAAUACCGGAUGAUGACGUAAGUCCAAAGAUUUAUCGCCCAAGGAUGAGCCCGCGUAGGAUUAGCUAGUUGGUGGGGUAAAGGCUCACCAAGGCGACGAUCCUUAGCUGGUCUGAGAGGAUGAUCAGCCACACUGGGACUGAGACACGGCCCAGACUCCUACGGGAGGCAGCAGUAGGGAAUAUUGGACAAUGGGCGAAAGCCUGAUCCAGCAAUGCCGCGUGAGUGAUGAAGGCCUUAGGGUUGUAAAGCUCUUUUACCCGGGAUGAUAAUGACAGUACCGGGAGAAUAAGCUCCGGCUAACUCCGUGCCAGCAGCCGCGGUAAUACGGAUGGAGCUAGCGUUGUUCGGAAUUGCUGGGCGUAAAGCGCACGUAGGCGGCUAUUCAAGUCAGAGGUGAAGCCCGGGGCUCACCCCGGAACUGCCUUUGAACUAGAUAGCUUGAAUCCAGGAGAGGUGAGUGGAAUUCCGAGUGUGAGGUGAAUUCGUAGAUUUCGGAAGAAGACAGUGGCGAAGGCUCUCACUGGACUGGAUUGACGCUUAUGUGAGAAAGCGUGGAGAGCAAACAGGAUUAGAUACCCUGGUAGUCCACGCCGUAAACGAUGAUGACUAGCUGUCAGGGCACAUGGUGUUUUGGUGGCGCACCUAACGCAGUAAGUUAUCCGCCUGGGGAGUACGGUCGCAAGAUUAAGACUCAUAUGAAUUGACUGGG
rnacentral:rRNA from 1 species